AUACGGAGGAUCCGAGCGUUAUCCGGAUUUAUUGGGUUUAAAGGGAGCGUAGGCGGGAGAUCAAGUCAGCUGUGAAAUGUAGAUGCUCAACAUCUGCACUGCAGUUGAAACUGGUUUUCUUGAGUGCGUAAGGGGCAGGCGGAAUUCGUCGUGUAGCGGUGAAAUGUUUAGAUAUGACGAAGAACUCCGAUCGCGAAGGCAGCCUUGCGGGCCGCGACUGACGCUGAAGCUCGAAGGUGCGGGUAUCGAACAGGAUUAGAUGCCCUGGUAGUCCGCACAGUAAACGAUGGAUACUCGCUGUCGGCGAUAUACGGUCGGUGGCCAAGCGAAAGCGUUAAGUAUCCCACCUGGGGAGUACGCCGGCAACGGUGAAACUCAAAUGAAUUGACGGGG
rnacentral:rRNA from 1 species